rnacentral:rRNA from 1 species
AAUAGAUACCCCGGUAGUCCACGCCGUAAACGAUGAGUGCUAAGUGUUGGAGGGUUUCCGCCCUUCAGUGCUGCAGCUAACGCAUUAAGCACUCCGCCUGGGGAGUACGGUCGCAAGACUGAAACUCAAAGGAAUUGACGGGGGCCCGCACAAGCGGUGGAGCAUGUGGUUUAAUUCGAAGCAACGCGAAGAACCUUACCAGGUCUUGACAUCUCCUGACCGCCCUGGAGACAGGGUCUUCCCUUCGGGGACAGGAUGACAGGUGGUGCAUGGUUGUCGUCAGCUCGUGUCGUGAGAUGUUGGGUUAAGUCCCGCAACGAGCGCAACCCUUGGUUCUAGUUGCCAGCAUUCAGUUGGGCACUCUAGAGCGACUGCCGGCGACAAGUCGGAGGAAGGUGGGGAUGACGUCAAAUCAUCAUGCCCCUUAUGACCUGGGCUACACACGUGCUACAAUGGAUGGUACAAAGGGCAGCGAAGCGGCGACGCAUGAGCGAAUCCCAGAAAACCAUUCUCAGUUCGGAUUG